rnacentral:rRNA from 1 species
UUUGGUUAAGUUAGAAAGGGCGCACGGUGGAUGCCUUGACACUAGGAGUCGAUGAAGGACGGGACUAACGCCGAUAUGCUUCGGGGAGCUGUAAGUAAGCUUUGAUCCGAAGAUUUCCGAAUGGGGAAACCCACCAUACGUAAUGGUAUGGUAUCCUUAUCUGAAUACAUAGGGUAAGGAAGACAGACCCAGGGAACUGAAACAUCUAAGUACCUGGAGGAAGAGAAAGCAAAUGCGAUUUCCUGAGUAGCGGCGAGCGAAACGGAACAUAGCCCAAACCAAGAGGCUUGCCUCUUGGGGUUGUAGGACAUUCUAUACGGAGUUACAAAGGAACGAGGUAGACGAAGCGACCUGGAAAGGUCCGUCGUAGAGGGUAACAACCCCGUAGUCGAAACUUCGUUCUCUCUUGAAUGUAUCCUGAGUACGGCGGAACACGUGAAAUUCCGUCGGAAUCUGGGAGGACCAUCUCCCAAGGCUAAAUACUCCCUAGUGAUCGAUAGUGAACCAGUACCGUGAGGGAAAGGUGAAAAGCACCCCGGAAGGGGAGUGAAAGAGAUCCUGAAACCGUGUGCCUACAAAUAGUCAGAGCCCGUUAACGGGUGAUGGCGUGCCUUUUGUAGAAUGAACCGGCGAGUUACGAUCCCGUGCGAGGUUAAGCUGAAGAGGCGGAGCCGCAGCGAAAGCGAGUCUGAAUAGGGCGUUUAGUACGUGGUCGUAGACCCGAAACCAGGUGAUCUACCCAUGUCCAGGGUGAAGUUCAGGUAACACUGAAUGGAGGCCCGAACCCACGCACGUUGAAAAGUGCGGGGAUGAGGUGUGGGUAGCGGAGAAAUUCCAAUCGAACCUGGAGAUAGCUGGUUCUCCCCGAAAUAGCUUUAGGGCUAGCCUUAAGUGUAAGAGUCUUGGAGGUAGAGCACUGAUUGGACUAGGGGUCCUCAUCGGAUUACCGAAUUCAGUCAAACUCCGAAUGCCAAUGACUUAUCCUUAGGAGUCAGACUGCGAGUGAUAAGAUCCGUAGUCAAAAGGGAAACAGCCCAGACCGCCAGCUAAGGUCCCAAAGUGUGUAUUAAGUGGAAAAGGAUGUGGAGUUGCUUAGACAACUAGGAUGUUGGCUUAGAAGCAGCCACCAUUUAAAGAGUGCGUAAUAGCUCACUAGUCGAGUGACUCUGCGCCGAAAAUGUACCGGGGCUAAAUACACCACCGAAGCUGCGGAUUGAUACCGAAUGGUAUCAGUGGUAGGGGAGCGUUCUAAGGACAGUGAAGUCAGACCGUAAGGACUGGUGGAGUGCUUAGAAGUGAGAAUGCCGGUAUGAGUAGCGAAAGACGGGUGAGAAUCCCGUCCACCGAAUGCCUAAGGUUUCCUGAGGAAGGCUCGUCCGCUCAGGGUUAGUCAGGACCUAAGCCGAGGCCGACAGGCGUAGGCGAUGGACAACAGGUUGAUAUUCCUGUACCACCUCUUUAUCGUUUGAGCAAUGGAGGGACGCAGAAGGAUAGAAGAAGCGUGCGAUUGGUUGUGCACGUCCAAGCAGUUAGGCUGAUAAGUAGGCAAAUCCGCUUAUCGUGAAGGCUGAGCUGUGAUGGGGAAGCUCCUUAUGGAGCGAAGUCUUUGAUUCCCCGCUGCCAAGAAAAGCUUCUAGCGAGAUAAAAGGUGCCUGUACCGCAAACCGACACAGGUAGGCGAGGAGAGAAUCCUAAGGUGUGCGAGAGAACUCUGGUUAAGGAACUCGGCAAAAUGACCCCGUAACUUCGGGAGAAGGGGUGCUUUCUUAACGGAAAGCCGCAGUGAAUAGGCCCAAGCGACUGUUUAGCAAAAACACAGCUCUCUGCGAAGCCGUAAGGCGAAGUAUAGGGGGUGACACCUGCCCGGUGCUGGAAGGUUAAGGAGAGGGGUUAGCGUAAGCGAAGCUCUGAACUGAAGCCCCAGUAAACGGCGGCCGUAACUAUAACGGUCCUAAGGUAGCGAAAUUCCUUGUCGGGUAAGUUCCGACCCGCACGAAAGGUGUAACGAUUUGGGCACUGUCUCAACCAGAGACUCGGUGAAAUUAUAGUACCUGUGAAGAUGCAGGUUACCCGCGACAGGACGGAAAGACCCCGUGGAGCUUUACUGUAGCCUGAUAUUGAAUUUUGGUACAGUUUGUACAGGAUAGGCGGGAGCCAUUGAAACCGGAGCGCUAGCUUCGGUGGAGGCGCUGGUGGGAUACCGCCCUGACUGUAUUGAAAUUCUAACCUACGGGUCUUAUCGACCCGGGAGACAGUGUCAGGUGGGCAGUUUGACUGGGGCGGUCGCCUCCUAAAGUGUAACGGAGGCGCCCAAAGGUUCCCUCAGAAUGGUUGGAAAUCAUUCGUAGAGUGCAAAGGCAUAAGGGAGCUUGACUGCGAGACCUACAAGUCGAGCAGGGACGAAAGUCGGGCUUAGUGAUCCGGUGGUUCCGCAUGGAAGGGCCAUCGCUCAACGGAUAAAAGCUACCCCGGGGAUAACAGGCUUAUCUCCCCCAAGAGUCCACAUCGACGGGGAGGUUUGGCACCUCGAUGUCGGCUCAUCGCAUCCUGGGGCUGUAGUCGGUCCCAAGGGUUGGGCUGUUCGCCCAUUAAAGCGGUACGCGAGCUGGGUUCAGAACGUCGUGAGACAGUUCGGUCCCUAUCCGUCGUGGGCGUAGGAAAUUUGAGAGGAGCUGUCCUUAGUACGAGAGGACCGGGAUGGACGCACCGCUGGUGUACCAGUUGUUCUGCCAAGGGCAUAGCUGGGUAGCUAUGUGCGGAAGGGAUAAGUGCUGAAAGCAUCUAAGCAUGAAGCCCCCCUCAAGAUGAGAUUUCCCAUAGCGUAAGCUAGUAAGAUCCCUGAAAGAUGAUCAGGUUGAUAGGUUCGAGGUGGAAGCAUGGUGACAUGUGGAGCUGACGAAUACUAAUAGAUCGAGGACUUAACAAUAUAA